GAUGAAGAACGUAGCGAAAUGCGAUAGGUAAUGUGAAUUGCAGAAUUCAGUGAAUCAUCGAAUCUUUGAACGCACAUUGCGCCCGCCAGUAUUCUGGCGGGCAUGCCUGUUCGAGCGUCAUUACAACCCUCAGGCCCCCGGGCCUGGCGUUGGGGAUCGGCGGAAGCCCCCUGCGGGCACAACGCCGUCCCCCAAAUACAGUGGCGGUCCCGCCGCAGCUUCCAUUGCGUAGUAGCUAACACCUCGCAACUGGAGAGCGGCGCGGCCACGCCGUAAAACACCCAACUUCUGAAUGUUGACCUCGAAUCAGGUAGGAAUACCCGCUGAACUUAAGCAUAUCAAUAAGCGGAGGA
rnacentral:misc_RNA from 1 species